rnacentral:rRNA from 1 species
AACGCGAAGAACCUUACCUGGGUUUGACAUGGAUCGGGAGUGCUCAGAGAUGGGUGUGCCUCUUUUGGGGUCGGUUCACAGGUGGUGCAUGGCUGUCGUCAGCUCGUGUCGUGAGAUGUUGGGUUAAGUCCCGCAACGAGCGCACCCUUGUUCACUGUUGCCAGCACGUUAUGGUGGGGACUCAGUGGAGACUGCCGGGGUCAACUCGGAGGAAGGUGGGGAUGACGUCAAGUCAUCAUGCCCCUUAUGUCCAGGGCUUCACGCAUGCUACAAUGGCUGGUACAGAGAGUGGCGAGCCUGUGAGGGUGAGCGAAUCUCGGAAAGCCGGUCUCAGUUCGGAUUGGGGUCUGCAACUCGACCUCAUGAAGUCGGAGUCGCUAGUAAUCGCAG